rnacentral:rRNA from 1 species
AGAGUUUGAUCCUGGCUCAGAACAAACGCUGGCGGCGUGCCUAACACAUGCAAGUCGUACGAGAAAGUCCGCUUCGGUGGAUGAGUAAAGUGGCGCACGGGUGAGUAACGCGUGGAUAAUCUACCCUUUAGUCUGGAAUAACUUAUCGAAAGGUGAACUAAUACCGGAUAAUAUCCCGAUUUCUUCGGCGAUCGGGAUCAAAGAAGGCCUCUGCUUGCAAGCUUUCACUGAAGGAUGAGUCCGCGUACCAUUAGCUAGUUGGCAGGGUAAUGGCCUACCAAGGUUAUGAUGGUUAGCUGGUCUGAGAGGAUGAUCAGCCACACUGGAACUGAAACACGGUCCAGACUCCUACGGGAGGCAGCAGUGAGGAAUAUUGCGCAAUGGGGGCAACCCUGACGCAGCAACGCCGCGUGAGUGAGGAAGGUUUUCGGAUUGUAAAGCUCUGUCGAGCGGAAAGAAGUGCAUGGUGGUUAAUAUCCAUCAUGCUUGACGGUACCGCUAAAGGAAGCACCGGCUAACUCCGUGCCAGCAGCCGCGGUAAUACGGGGGGUGCAAGCGUUGUUCGGAAUCAUUGGGCGUAAAGCGCGUGUAGGCGGCUGGACAAGUCAGAUGUGAAAGCCCUGGGCUUAACCCAGGAAGUGCAUUUGAAACUGUUCAGCUAGAGUAAGGGAGAGGAAAGUGGAAUUCCUGGUGUAGAGGUGAAAUUCGUAGAUAUCAGGAGGAACACCGGUGGCGAACGCGACUUUCUGGCCCUAUACUGACGCUGAGACGCGAAAGCGUGGGUAGCAAACAGGAUUAGAUACCCUGGUAGUCCACGCUGUAAACGAUGUUCACUAGUGUUGGGGGUAUUGACCCUUCCAGUGCCGCAGCUAACGCAUUAAGUGAACCGCCUGGGGAGUACGGUCGCAAGAUUAAAACUCAAAAGAAUUGACGG